rnacentral:rRNA from 1 species
UACGUAGGGUGCAAGCGUUGUCCGGAAUUAUUGGGCGUAAAGAGCUCGUAGGCGGUUUGUCGCGUCGAAUGUGAAAACCCGGGGCUUAACCCCGGGCCUGCAGUGGGUACGGGCAGACUAGAGUGCGGUAGGGGAGAUUGGAAUUCCUGGUGUAGCGGUGAAAUGCGCAGAUAUCAGGAGGAACACCGGUGGCGAAGGCGGGUCUCUGGGCCGAUACUGACGCUGAGGAGCGAAAGCGUGGGGAGCGAACAGG